GUGAGCGCGCACCGGCUGGGGGGACGUUGGAGAAGCCAAGCAGAGGCAGCCGGGCGCGCCUUCCUGCCCUCCCGGUGGAGGAGGACGCGGCAGGGACAGGCGGGCGGCCAGCCGGCUUCAGGACGCUUGACAAGGGUUUUGGCUGAGGGUGCGCCCUGGGCUCUGGAGCGCCCAGGUGCCCCGCCACCCACGGGGGGCGUGGUAUGGGGGCGUGGCCUGGGCGUGGCCGGCACCGCCUCUUCCCUUUCCUGAGUCCAGAGGGCCCCUCCUGCCCGCCACGUUUCCUUCCUGCUGGGGGGCUUCUGUUCUCCCAGACCGGGUCGGUGCUCUUUUCCCCCGGCGCCCCUCCCCCACCCAGCCCGGGCCUUGCCUGCCGCAGCCACCUUCUUCUCUGAUGCUGUGUCCUGGACUUGGUGACAAUGGCAAAUUGACAAGAAGGCGAGCCUGGGCCUUUCCUGCGGCGACAUCCAGCUUCCCCCGCCCCUCCCUGGGUGGGUGCCCACCACACGCCCAGCCUGCCGCGUGCUUAUCCAGGCCCUCCAGGCCAGGCCUCCGGGUCUUAUGGAAGAAGGCCCCGUGUCUGGGCAGUGCCGUGGCUGUGAGUGAGCAUCCGGGGCCAGUCAGAUGUGCCGUCUCCGGAGGUCACUUCCAUAGUGGCCAUCAACAGCUUGGCCAAACUCGGCCGCAGGAUCUUUUCCUAUCAAUUGCAGGAUGGACUCUUCCCGCAGCCAUGCGACCUGUGGCCCGCGGUCCUGCUCCCUGAGCUGGAGGAGGCUGAACAGAAUGAGCAGUUUUUCUUCCCAGGGUCUCCCCAAGAGCUGCUUCCUUUGACUCCUGCUGUGUGUAGUUCUGCUGACAAUGACCUGGACAGCUCUGCGCCAUGCACAGCGUCUCUUUUCUCCGACUUACCAAAUUUUAGACACUACUGACUCCUCCAUGUGAAAGAUGGGAAUUCAGCUACAUCACAUUACCCUACAAACUUUAUUGUUAAUAUUUCUUCCCGGUCAGCCCCAAACACUGAAUGUAAAUACGGUCCAACAUCAACCUGCAAACGAACACUGACAUGAAAGUGCAGUUGGAAAGGAUCUCGCAAAGGAACAGAAUCUGGUGAUCCUAAUCGUAAUGAACGUGAUCGCCGGGUAUUGAGAGCUUGCAGGUACCAGGGCUCCGGCACUACGUGUUUCACAGGGGCCACUCGGUAGACCUCUUGGUGACCUUGAGGUCAGGUACCACGUUCCCAUUUUACAGAGGAGGAAACUGAGAUAACCUACGACAGCGAAAAGGUAGCAGAGCUGGGACUGGUGCCCAGGCUCGCCGAGUGGAAAAGCCCUCGGCCACCGUGGAGAGCUCGCUUCCUGUGGUCUGAAGCGUCGCCCCUGCACCGGCUUCUGCUGCCAAGGAUGGCUUUUCCUCACUGGUGCCCACCUACGCUCACUUGUGUCAUGUGGUUAAGCCCUUUUGGCAACAUAAGACCUUUCCCAAGAAUGUGCCUCGGUGCAGAGGAAGACGGUGGGGGCAGGCCCCCUCCCCGGGAUGCUCCACCCUCCCUGACCUCACACGGGUGCAACCUGGGCCGUGGCCGAGACCUGCUGUGUGGCAGACAAUGGGAAGCCUGUGUGUCGUCCUGGGUGCCGGAUUUAGACAAUAUUUAGCUUUCCCUUGGUGGAAAAGCCUUUCCCCUCCUGCUUUGGGCAGGAACUGGUUCCUGUUGGGCGGGGCCUGGCUGCUGCCCCACCCCCACCCGGCCGGGCACCUUGACCGGCAGCUCUCCGGGCUGCUCCCUGCCUGUGUCCCUGAGCACUGACUCCAGAGGUUUAAUCAUUAACGGGCACGUUUGGCCUUCGGUCGUGGGCUGGAAUUUGGGACCUGUGCCCGGGAACAAUGAUCUCCGACACAUUAUUUUGUGUAAAAUCACUUUUAGCUGCCAUUAGCUAAUAAAGCUGGAAUAAAGUGAGGUCCAUUAACCAGCA
rnacentral:lncRNA from 10 species